ACACGUGCUACAAUGGCCGGUACAGACGGACGCAAAGCCGCGAGGUGGAGCAAAUCCUAAAAAGACCGGUCUCAGUUCGGAUUGCAGGCUGCAAUUCGCCUGCAUGAAGUCGGAAUCGCUAGUAAUCGCAGGUCAGCAUACUGCGGUGAAUACCGGUUCCCGGGCCUU
rnacentral:rRNA from 1 species